rnacentral:rRNA from 1 species
GACGAACGCUGGCGGCGUGCCUAAUACAUGCAAGUAGGACGCAGUUGCGAACGGGUGCGUAACGCGUAGGUAACUGCCUAUUAGAGGGGGAUAACUAUUGGAAACGAUAGCUAAUACCGCAUACUAGUAGAUGGACCUGCGUUGUAUUAGCUAGUAGGUAGGGUAAUGGCCUACCUAGGCGACGAUACAUAGCCGACCUGGGAGGGUGAUCGGACAAACGGGGAAUGGGACACGGGCCCGACGCCUACGGGAGGCAGCAGUAGGGAAACUUCGGAAAUGGGGGGAACCCCGAACGAGCAACGCCGCGGGAGUGAAGAAGGUUUUCGGAUCGUAAAGCUAUGUUGUUAAGGAAGCGGUACUUAACCAGAAAGGGACGGCUAACUACGUGCCAGCAGCCGCGGUAAUAC